AAAAAAAAAAAAGAAGAAGAGAGGGUUUCAUGAGUAAUUUUGAGGGGUGUCAAAAGUCUUGCUUAAUUCUACUUGAGGCUUUUUAGAAAUGUCCGAUUGAUGCGCAUAAUACAAUAAUAACAUACGUCUUUGGGCUGCACGGUUUCUGUUCAGCUUCGGUUCAAAUUCUUUGGUUUUACUUCUCUAACUCCUUUUCCAUGUUAUAUCUUCAACAUCACAGGACAAUUUCUUCGAUGGAAAUGUUGUUGUUCUUUUUCAAUUAUUGCAAUUCCCAUAAACAUUUAUGCGAUUUCUACUGUUUUGAUUGCUCUUAAAUGUGUAUUUUUGGUGGUAUAGAUGAUGACAUUUCAUUAAUUUAUUAACUUUUCAGUCCUUAAUAUUUCUUGCUUCAAUACUUAUUUUAUUUUACAAAUCCGUUAUGAGAAAUUUUAUAAUAUAUCAAAAGUAUUACAUCCAUUUAAUACAUGUAUAUGUACAUUAAUUAAAUACAACUAUUAAUUAUAUAAUAAUUUCUAAAAUAAACACAGAUUUCACACAAGUCCGUUUCAAUGAUCACAAAUACUUCAUUAUACAUUUUCUUUUUUCUUUUUCCCCCUCUUCAGUCAACUUUUAGGUAUUGAGAAGCAAGUUGCUGAGUCGACAGAAAUAAUUGGCUUAGUGCAUAUAUUACUUUUAAUUCAAGAAAAUGACAAAGACAAUGUGGGUGUAUGACAACUAGACGAUUCCUUGCCUCCUUCACUCUCUUAGUAAAAAAUUUGAACAUCGAAAUUCGUUGUUUCCUCGUUCGCCAUCCUUGCUGAUUCAACACUCCACUUCUCAGUACUCGUCGUGCUUUAGAUACUUCCACCCUGAACUUAGAACCAGCACCAGCACCAACACUUGCCACUUUAUCUCCUAAUUUGGCCAACCUCGAAACCUUGAUUCCCUCGAUCUAAAUCAGAUGCUCAAAUUAAUUGCUAAACCUUUCCAAAUAA
rnacentral:lncRNA from 1 species